AAGUAUUCCGAAAUUUUCAUUAGUAUUUCUAGGUUGGCUACUAGUUUCAACUUGUUUAUCUUUUCUAGGUCGGGGAGCCGGGGGAGGGGUAGGAUUUUAGCGACUACUUUCACCGGAUUUAGAUUUACAUUUUCCGUACAUGUUUUUCAAUGAAAAUGCCAUAAUAAUUAUAAUUAAGCAAAAUAACAACACACAACAAA
rnacentral:lncRNA from 1 species